GGAAUAUUGGACAAUGGGCGCAAGCCUGAUCCAGCCAUGCCGCGUGAGUGAUGAAGGCCCUAGGGUUGUAAAGCUCUUUCACCCACGAGGAUAAUGACGGUAGUGGGAGAAGAAGCCCCGGCUAACUUCGUGCCAGCAGCCGCGGUAAUACGAAGGGGGCUAGCGUUGCUCGGAAUCACUGGGCGUAAAGCGCACGUAGGCGGCUUCUUAAGUCGGUGGUGAAAUCCUGGAGCUCAACUCCAGAACUGCCUUCGAUACUGAGAGGCUCGAGUCCGGGAGAGGUGAGUGGAACUGCGAGUGUAGAGGUGAAAUUCGUAGAUAUUCGCAAGAACACCAGUGGCGAAGGCGGCUCACUGGCCCGGUACUGACGCUGAGGUGCGAAAGCGUGGGGAGCAAAC
rnacentral:rRNA from 1 species